AAAAAGAUUAUUAGUGAGUGUAGCAUGAACGCAUCGAGCAAAGGCCCCAUCACUCUCGGACUCCACCUCAGGGAAACCAAGUUAGGUCUUCCAUGGGGCAAUGCCGAUCCAGAACCCCUCCACAGAAGUUUCACUAUUUCACUCCAUUGAACACCUCCCAAGCUCAGAUACUAAUGGAGAUAGAAUGCCAAGAAGAGCUCCCCCAAUCGAGG
rnacentral:lncRNA from 1 species